rnacentral:rRNA from 1 species
UACGAAGGGGGCUAGCGUUGCUCGGAAUCACUGGGCGUAAAGGGCGCGUAGGCGGCUUGAUAAGCGUGCGGUGAAAGCCCGGGGCUCAACCCCGGGUCGGCCGUGCGAACUGUCGAGCUGGAGCACUGUAGAGGCAGGUGGAAUUCCGGGUGUAGCGGUGGAAUGCGUAGAGAUCCGGAAGAACACCGGUGGCGAAGGCGGCCUGCUGGGCAGUGGCUGACGCUGAGGCGCGACAGCGUGGGGAGCAACCAGG